rnacentral:rRNA from 1 species
UGGGGAAUAUUGGGCAAUGGACGCAAGUCUGACCCAGCAACGCCGCGUGAAGGAAGAAGGCUUUCGGGUUGUAAACUUCUUUUAAGGGGGAAGAGCAGAAGACGGUACCCCUUGAAUAAGCCACGGCUAACUACGUGCCAGCAGCCGCGGUAAUACGUAGGUGGCAAGCGUUGUCCGGAUUUACUGGGUGUAAAGGGCGUGCAGCCGGGCUGACAAGUCAGAUGUGAAAUUCCAGGGCUCAACUCUGGAACUGCAUUUGAAACUAUUGGUCUUGAGUACCGGAGAGGUUAUCGGAAUUCCUUGUGUAGCGGUGAAAUGCGUAGAUAUAAGGAAGAACACCAGUGGCGAAGGCGGAUAACUGGACGGCAACUGACGGUGAGGCGCGAAAGCGUGGGGAGCAAACAGGAUUAGAUACC